rnacentral:rRNA from 1 species
GACGAACGCUGGCGGCGUGCUUGACACAUGCAAGUCGAACGGAAAGGCCUGCUUUCCCUUGUGGAUUGCGGGUACUCGAGUGGCGAACGGGUGAGUAACACGUGAGUGAUCUGCCCCCAACUUGGGUAUAAGCCUGGGAAACUGGGUCUAAUUCCCGAUAGGACUGCAGGGUGGUGCCUGUGGUGGAAAACGAUUUUCUAGUGGUUGGGGAUGAGCUCGCGGCCUAUCAGCUUGUUGGUGGGGUAAUGGCCUACCAAGGCGGCGACGGGUAGCCGGCCUGAGAGGGUGGACGGCCACAUUGGGACUGAGAUACGGCCCAGACUCCUACGGGAGGCAGCAGUGGGGAAUAUUGCACAAUGGGCGGAAGCCUGAGGCAGCGACGCCGCGUGGGGGAUGACGGCCUUCGGGUUGUAAACUCCUUUCGACCGCGAGGAAGCCACCUGGUUGGAAGGGUGGUGACGGUAGUGGUAGAAGAAGCACCGGCUAACUACGUG